AAAGUGCAUAGGAAUUAGAUUUUCUUUUAAAUUCUUGCAUGUUAAUUCCAGGUUACAGCCAGAAAGGAGAGCCCAUUCUGUUCCCAAAUAGACCAAGCCUAUUUCAACAAAGAAAAGAACCACAAUUUUGUACAUAAUAACAAAGCAUGUCGGGAACACACUAAAAUUAACAUUAAAGAGCCACAUGGCUUUGCUCAAGUAGUUGGACCGUAGGGUGAGAAAAGAUGUAGGGAAGGACGGGCAGUUCACAAACUAUCAUAAAAGAAAAAGCAUAUUGAACCUGUUGAGAGAUACUGGAUGUG
rnacentral:misc_RNA from 1 species